rnacentral:rRNA from 1 species
UACGUAGGGGGCAAGCGUUGUCCGGAAUCAUUGGGCGUAAAGGGCGCGUAGGCGGCCUGCUAAGUCGAACGUGAAAUCCCUGGGCUCAACCCAGGAACUGCGUCCGAUACUGGUUGGCUUGAAUCCGGGAGAGGGAUGCGGAAUUCCAGGUGUAGCGGUGAAAUGCGUAGAUAUCUGGAGGAACACCGGUGGCGAAGGCGGCAUCCUGGACCGGCAUUGACGCUGAUGCACGAAGGCCAGGGGAGCAAACGGG